AGUGGAGUAGCUCAGUGGUUAGAGCAGUGGAAUCAUAAUCCAUUGGCCGGGGGUUCAAAUCCCUCUUCCACUA
rnacentral:tRNA from 1 species